rnacentral:rRNA from 1 species
AUUGAACGCUGGCGGCAGGCUUAACACAUGCAAGUCGAGCGGAGAUGAGGUGCUUGCACCUUAUCUUAGCGGCGGACGGGUGAGUAAUGCUUAGGAAUCUGCCUAUUAGUGGGGGACAACAUUCCGAAAGGAAUGCUAAUACCGCAUACGCCCUACGGGGGAAAGCAGGGGAUCUUCGGACCUUGCGCUAAUAGAUGAGCCUAAGUCGGAUUAGCUAGUUGGUGGGGUAAAGGCCUACCAAGGCGACGAUCUGUAGCGGGUCUGAGAGGAUGAUCCGCCACACUGGGACUGAGAAACGGCCCAGACUCCUACGGGAGGCAGCAGUGGGGAAUACUGGACAAUGGGCGGAAGCCUGAUCCAGCCCUGCCGCGUGUGUGAAGAAGGCCUUUUGGUUGUAAAGCACUUUAAGCGAGGAGGAGGCUACCUGGAUUAAUACUCUAGGAUAGUGGACGUUACUCGCAGAAUAAGCACCGGCUAACUCUGUGCCAGCAGCCGCCGUAA